AUCCCAAUGCAGCAAGCCAUGGCCAGCGCAGAGAAUCCUUCCUGUACCGCUCUGACAGUGACUACGACCUGUCACCAAAGUCCAUGUCCAGAAACUCUUCCAUUGCUGGAGAACUACAUGUUGACAACUUGAUUGUGACUCCGUUUGCACAGGUUCUGGCAAGCCUUCAGACUGUCAGGACCAACUUCGCCACUUUGACAAAUGUGCAGUGUGUUUCUAGUAGG